UACGUAGGGUGCAAGCGUUGUCCGGAAUUAUUGGGCGUAAAGGGCUCGUAGGCGGUUCGACAAGUCGGGUGUGAAAACUCCGGGCUCAACCCGGAGACGCCACCCGAUACUGUCGUGACUGGAGUCCGGUAGGGGAGCGGUAGUACUCUGGUGUAGCGGUGAAAUGCGCAGAUAUCAGGAGGAACACCAGCGGCGAAGGCGGCGCUCUGGGCCGGAACUGACGCUGAGGAGCGAAAGCGUGGGUAGCAAACAGG
rnacentral:rRNA from 1 species